rnacentral:lncRNA from 1 species
UGUAAACUCUGAGGACCUAAUCGUAAAUAUAAUAAUACAAGGACUAAACUGCAAAAUACAUAAAAUUACAAUUCCCACCGUUUAAGCCUCUCUGCCUUCGUUCUUAAGGAACCAGAGAAGGCAGCUACGUGGAUGAACAGAGAAAGAAAGAAAGAAGAAGAGGAAGAAAAAAGGGGGAAGAAGAAGAAGAAAAAAAUUUGGGGCUUUAAGGUUUCUUGCUCAAAUCUUCUCAUUUAGGAUCAUAAUUCUCAAAGGUAAGUGUUCUAACCCCAUCCUACAGAAGUAUUAGUCUCUGUUCCAUAUUGAUUCUGAAAGAUUUAUGCUUAGAACCUGAUAUUUCUCUAUUUGGACAUAAAACCAAGGAUCUGAAAUUUUUUCGGUAAACUGACUCCUAUACAUUGUUUCAGCUAUAAUUUUUAGCACCAAAUGUGGAUUCAGGCAGGACCUAGCUCGUUUGAAAUUAGACUCUUAUAUCUUUCUUUUGACACUAAUUUUGUAGAUUUUGGACACCGAAUACUUACCCAAACGUCUGUUUCAAAUGAGCCUAUAGAUGCUGCAGAACAGGGAUCAAAAUUGAUGACCCUUCGAUACUAAAAUACCUAUAAGUCCCUGAUGGAAAUUCUGAUUCAUACCAAACUGACUUCGUUCGAAACUAGACUUGUAGACCUUUCUUUUGAAAUAUAGAUUGAAAAUUUUGGUAUUAAAUGCCUAUCCUAUUAUCUAUUGAAUCCGACCCUAUGAAUUAUACAAAACAGUGAUUUUGUUUUUGACCUUGUGUUACCAAAUCAAAGGUAACUCCUUGUUGGAAACCAUGAUUCGUACGAAACUUGUUUCAAUAGAAAAUAGAUUGAUAUAUCUUUCGACAAUAGCCUUCUUGAGGGUAUUGGAGCAUAAUUGACAAUCUGAAGUAUUUAUCCAAUGAGCCUCUCGAAAUCUAUCAGAAAUGGAGCUUUGAUCGAUUUCGCAUCUUCUGUUUUCAUUCGUUUGGAAAUAGAUUUUGUUCAGUUCCCUUCACUCAAUUGUGGAUUAUAUUAAUGUUUGAAUUCAUCUAACCUUCUUAUUUGAAUUGAGUUGUAUGUGAUUGCUUGGAUUUCAUGUGUUCCCUUGCUUUCAUUUCCUUUCAAAUCUGAAUAUAAUUGUGAAAGAUUAUUGCUUACUUCGUAUUGACUCGUAAAGGCACAUAUACGUUUUGUUGUUCCGCGUGUGCUUCCGAUAUGUGCUGUUCAUUAUUCAUACUAUCCUUUUGUACUCUGGUGUUUGUGGGAUAUUGUGAACCUUCGCCAGAAAUGGUGAAGGGAGUUAUGCAUAGAGCCUGAGAUGCUCUGCCGGCCCCUAUGACUUCCCUCAAACGUGGCUGGAUUGAGCUCCCAGAUGUGAGAGACUUAUGUUUGGUGGUCAUUCAGAAAUGGAUGUACCAUAUUAUGUAUGGUCCCACUUCACCUUCUGUAUGCUUGAUAUGGUAUCCAGAGCUUUGGUUAUGUGUUUCUAUACAUUCUUUGGAUAUGAAUGAUAUGAAUACAACGUCAAAUUCGAUAUUUGAGCUUCUGUUUCAUAUUCAUCUUUGAAAUGCUCUGAAAUGGUCCAUACGCCAUUGAUAUGUUUCGAAAUGUUUCAUUUAUCAUUGAUACACUUCGAAACAUUUCGUACGCCUUUGAUAUGCUUCAAAAUGUUUCAUUUGUUAUUGAUAUGCUUCGAAAUGUUCCAUAGGUUGUUGAUAUGCUCCGGAACAUUUCAUAUGCUAUUGAUAUGCUCCAAUUACUCUAUGCUCCAUCUGUUAUGAACCAAAUAUGUUUGAUUGAGACGACAUUUGUGAUUCUACCCUAAUGAGAUUACGUCUAUGAAUUAUUAUAUUCUGCCUUGCAUUUUGAAACCUUAUUUGUUUGGAAAUUGCCCUCUUUUACCAUGGAUAUGUUAGUCACUUGCUGAGCUUUAUAUGCUCACCCCGUUGUUGUAUAAAUUUUUCAGGAUAGCUUGUCACUCGCUUAAAUGUUAAGGUUGGGCUGAGGUAGUGGAAAGCUAAAAGAUUUUGGGCAGAUCUUAAUUAGUAUAUAUAUUUUUGUUGUAUACGCACACUCUGCAUCUAAUGAAAUGUUGACGAUGAAUCUAAACUUGUGGAUUUUGUAUAAGUUUAAAGGACCUCUCGUGUCUAGGAUUCUGGAAUGUUAAGUUUAAUUUGUGUAAUGAUAUAAACUUAUGGUAAAUGUUGGUUUUGUGACUGUAUAGACUCCCAUACUUGUGAAUUUAUGUUGUAGUUAUUAUUUUGGUGAGUUGGGUUCAGAUUUUAUGAAUCAUCGAGUGAUGUGUUGUAUGUUUAUGAACUACACAGGGUUUAUAAAUUUGUAGGUUAUAGAGGUGAAAUUUUGAUCUGAAUAUUUUUUUAGUGACCUCAAAUGUGUGAUUAGAUCCUGGAUGGAUUUGUGAUGAAAAUUUUUAAAAUUAUCGAUAUUAUAUUUUAAGGGGCGUGACAGAGGUGGUAUCAGAGCAUGAUUUGAGAAUCACUAAGAAUUUUUUUUAUGUACUUGAUGAAAAAGAAAAAUUGAGGUUUAUUGACUUUCAUUUAGAGAUUGAUCAAAGAAAAUUUUCUUUUGAUGUUUUAGGAAGCAAGGAUGACGAGAUCAUCUGGUUCUCCUGUUGCAUCUACUGCUGAUCAAUUGAGUGGUAUCAUGCGGACUUUGGAGACUAUGGCACAAGUGAUGCAACAACAACAACAACAUGGCAAACAAGGAAGAAAUGAUGGAAUAGGGACAUCAAACCAGACGGGGUUGGGAAUUGAACAGUUUAAGAAGCUUAGUCCUCCCAGUUUUGGUGGUGAGUCUGAUCCAAUGGUGGCAGAACGAUGGAUGAUGCAGAUAGAGAAAAUAUUUGAUGUCUUAAAUUACCCAGAUGAUCAGAAAGUUUCUCUUGCUACCUUCAUGCUGGAAGGAGAAGCUGAACACUAGUGGAGAAUGAUUAAGAGGAUUUUUGAAAUCAAGCAUGAGUCAAUGACAUGAAAGUUAUUCAAAGAAAAGUUUAACGAUAAAUAUUUUCCAGAUUGUAUGAGAGAGCAAAAAGAAUUGGAGUUCUUGAAUCUUAUCCAGGGAAUUAUAACGGUUACAAAGUAUGAAUCUAAAUUCACUGAGCUCUCCAGGUUUUCCACACAUAUGACUGAUGAUGAAUCUAGAAAAGCAAGAAGGUUUGAAAGGGGAUUACGGCCAGCGAUAAGAAGUGGAAUGUCAGCUUUAAAACUACAAACAUAUGCGGAUAUGGUAGAAAGAGCUUUGAAAAUUUAAAGAGACUUGGAGGAAAUUCAAGAAAUCAUGGGCAAGAACAAAAAGGACAAAUUUACUAGCAAAAGCAAGAGAGAAAUUGAAUAUGAAGCUAGUAACAAGAGGAUCAAGACAUCUAGAUUUGAGAAAGGUAAACCACUGCGGAGGACUCAAUCAUGUGCAAAAUAUGGAUUAAAUCAUGAGACAAGUCAGUGUUUUCAUACGACUGGAGCCUGUUUUGCUUGUGGAAAGUUAGAUCAUCAAGUAAGAGAUUGCCCACUAAACAGGAAGAAAGAGCCACUGCCUCCUAGACCCUCAACCUAUGCUAGAGUGUAUGCUAUCACUGAACAAGAUUCUAAAGCUUCUAAAUCUGUGGUUGAAGGUAUUCUUUAUGUUUCUAAAAGAAAUGCAAAGGUUUUGUUUGAUCCCGGUCCAACUUAUCAUUUGUUUCACAAUACUUCGCUUGUCACUUGGAUAUUCUACCUAGACCCCUGGAUUAUAUAUUAUAUGUAACAACUGCUGUUGGGGAUUCUUUGGCAACAAACUUGGUUUACCCAUCUUAUUUGAUCUCUAUUGGAGAACACGAACUUCUUGCUGAUUUGAUUCUUCUAGAGAUCCAGGGUUUUGAUAUUAUACUUGGCAUGGAUUUGCUAUCUUCCUAUCAUGUUAGUAUUGAUUGCUACACAAAAAUAAUUACUUUCUGCAUACCAAAUCAGCUUAUAUUUUACUUUGAGGGCAUUAGGCAUGAUUUGCCUCCUUGCUUGAUAUCAGCACUUCAAGCUUAUCGUUUUAUGCAGAAGGGUUGUUUUUGUUAUAUGGUGUGUAAAGGAGCAUUCAAAUCAGGAAACCCAUCUAGAUGAAAUUUCAGUGGUCAAAGAGUUCCCUGAUGUAUUCCCAGAUGACUUGCCUGGUUUACCCCUAGAUAGAGAGGGUGAAUUUGUUAUUGAUCUGGUCCCCAAUACAACCCCAAUAUCUAAGCCUCCCUAUAGAAUGGCACCACUCGAGCUAGAGGAAUUAAAGAAACAACUACAAGAAUUAUUAGAUAAGGGCUUCAUACAACCCAGCGUUUCACCGUGGGGUACUCCGGUAUUAUUAGUGAAGAAGAAGGAUGGAAUAUUAAGGCUUUGUAUUGAUUAUAGACAAUUGAAUCAGGUGACCAUCAAAAACAAGUAUCCCAUACCCAGAAUUGAUGAUUUGUUUGAUCAACUAUAGGGUGCACAAGUAUUCUCUAAGAUUGAUCUGAGGUCAGGUUACUAUCAGUUGAAGAUCAAGGAGGGGGAUAUUCCAAAAACAGCUUUUAGAACUCGAUAUGGUCACUAUGAAUUCUUGGUGAUGCCUUUUGGUUUAACUAAUGCCCCUGCAGCUUUUAUGGAACUAAUGAAUAGGAUAUUUCAACCGCUCUUGGAUGACUGUGUAAUUGUAUUCAUUGAUGAUAUAUUGGUGUAUUCAAGGAGUAAUCAGGAGCAUGAGGAACACUUGAGAAAUGUAUUGUCCAUACUAAGAGAAAAGAAGUUGUAUGCAAAGUUCAGCAAAUGUGAAUUUUGGUUGAAUGAAGUUGCUUUCUUAGGCCAUGUGAUUUUAGGGAAGGUUAUAUCUGUUGAUCCAAAGAAAGUGGAAGCUNNNNNNNNNNNNNNNNNNNNACUAGUGCCCCUAUUCUCACUAUUCCAAGUGGUAGUGAGGGAUUUGUAGUUUAUACUGAUGCUUCAAGAAAGGACCUUGGAUGUGUUUUGAUGCAGGAAGGGAGAGUAAUUGCUUAUGCUUCUAGGCAACUAAAAGGUUAUGAAUUAAAUUAUCCAACUCAUGAUUUGGAAUUGGCAGCAAUUAUUUUUGCUCUAAAGAUUUGGAGACAUUAUUUGUAUGGUCGACAAUUUGAAAUCUUUACUGAUCACAAGAGUUUAAAAUAUAUUUUUACUCAGAAAGAGUUAAACAUGAGGCAGCGAAGAUGGAUAGAACUUCUGAAGGAUUAUGAUUGUGCCAUCCGUUAUCACCCGGGCAAAGCCAAUGUUGUAGCUGAUGCACUUAGUAGAAAAUCUACAAGUUUUAUGGCUAGUCUGGUCGUGAAGCAAUGGAAGUUAUUAGAAGAAAAUUUUGAUUUGAAAGCUUUGAGGAAAGAGCAAGACUCGAUGAUAUUGAUGGCCUUCAUUCAAGUACAAUCUGAACUUAUUCAACAAAUUAAGGAAGGACAAUUACAAGAUCCACAUUUAAUCUACUUGAGGAAUGAAGUAGAAAAGGAAUUGAAGCCAAAAUUUCAAGUUUCAAAGGAUGGCUUAUUGAGAUUUGGGGAUAGAGUAUGUGUACCAAAUGAACCAGAUAUCAAGAAUCAAAUCCUAAAGGAAAGUCAUACUUCAAAGUACACCAUGCAUCCUGGGAGCACUAAGAUGUAUAGAGAUCUUCAAAGUCAUUAUUGGUGGGAAGGCAUGAAGAAGGAAAUUACAAUGUAUGUUUCAAAAUGUUUGACUUGUCAGCAAAUCAAAGUAGAACACCAAAGACCUGGAGGGUUGUUGCAACAUUUAGAUAUUCCUAAAUGGAAAUGGGAAUGUAUUACUAUGGAUUUUGUUUCAGGACUACCCAGAACCUCUAAAAAGCAUGAUGCCAUUUAGGUUAUCAUUGAUAGGUUAACAAAAUCUGCACAUUUCCUAACGAUUAAUAUGACUUAUUUGCUUGAUAGACUUGCAUAUUUAUAUGUCAAUGAAAUAGUAAGACUUCAUGGUAUUCCAAAGGAGAUCAUCUCUGAUAAAGACUCCAGAUUUCUCUCUAGAUUCUGGAGAAAAUUACAGGAAUCUAUAGGCACUAAAGUCAAGUUUAGUACUACAUAUCAUCCUCAGACUGAUGGUCAGUCAGAAAGAACAAUUCAAACACUUGAGGAUUUGCUUAGAGCCUAUGUUAUGGAUUGGAAAGGUGAAUGGGAUAAAGAUAUUUCACUUACUGAGUUCACUUAUAAUAAUAGUUAUUAUUCAAGUAUUCAGAUGGCUCCUUAUGAAGCUUUAUAUGGGCGAAAGUGCAUAAAACCUAUAUGUUGGGAGGAAGUUGGUGACAGAAAGAUGUUAGCACUGGACAAAGUACAAGAAACUACCGAGAAAAUUCAAGUUAUAAGGAAAAGAUUAAAAACUGCUCAGAGUCGUCAAAAGAGUUAUGCUGACAAUAGAAGACGAGAUAUUGAGUUUGAAAUCGGAGAUUUUGUAUUCUUAAAGGUCUCCCCUUCCAAAGGCAUUAUAAGGUUUGGGAAGAAAGGAAAGUUAAGCCCAAGAUUUAUUGGACCUUUUGAGGUUCUUGAGAGGGUUGGUUCUGUCGCUUACAAGAUUGCCUUGCCACCAGCAUUGUGCCAUAUCCAUGAUAUAUUUCAUGUUUCGAUGAUUAGUAAGUAUAUACCUGAUCCUUCUCAUAUCAUUGAGCAUGAGCAGAUGGAGAUCGAUAAAGAUUUAUCUUAUGUGGAAGAGCCCACUCAAAUUGUUGAUAAGAAGGAAAAUAUCCUAAGGAAUCAAGUCAUCACUCUGGUGCAAGUAAUUUGGAGACAUCAUUCUGGAGAGGAAACAACCUGGGAGCUAGAGGAGGAAAUGAAAAAGAUCUAUCCCUAUCUUUUCAUAGAUAGAGGUAUGAUAAAUUUAGAGGACUAAAUUUUUCUUUUAAAGGGGGAAGAGUGUAACAUCCCUCAUUUCUGAAUUUUCGUAUAAGUUUAUAAUUGUAAUGUAAGUAUCUAUUUUAAAUUUGAUAAAAGAGCCAAAGUAUGAAUAUGAGAACUUAUUCAUAAGAUUUGGAGGAUUUGUUCAAAAAAAAAAAAAUCUGAGGACCUAUAUGUAAACCCUGAGGACCUAAUCGUAAAUAUAAUAAUACAAUGACUAAACUAUAAAAUACAUAAAAUUACAAAUCCCACCAUUUAAGCCUCUCUGCCUUCGUUCUUAAGGAACCAGAGAAGGCAGCUACGUGGAUGAAUAGAGAAAGAAAGAAAUAAGAAGAGGAAGAAAAAAAGGGGAAGAAGAAGAAGAGAAAAAUUUGGGGCUUUAAGGUUUCUUGCUCAAAUCUUCUCAUUUAGGAUCAUAAUUCUCAAAG